GAUGAACGCUGGCGGCGUGUUUAACACAUGCAAGUCGAACGAAGCACUUUAUUUGAUUUCCUUCGGGACUGAUUAUUUUGUGACUGAGUGGCGGACGGGUGAGUAACGCGUGGGUAACCUGCCUUGUACAGGGGGAUAACAGUUGGAAACGGCUGCUAAUACCGCAUAAGCGCACGGCAUCGCAUGAUGCAGUGUGAAAAACUCCGGUGGUAUAAGAUGGGCCCGCGUUGGAUUAGCUAGUUGGUGAGGUAACGGCCCACCAAGGCGACGAUCCAUAGCCGACCUGAGAGGGUGACCGGCCACAUUGGGACUGAGACACGGCCCAAACUCCUACGGGAGGCAGCAGUGGGGAAUAUUGCACAAUGGGCGAAAGCCUGAUGCAGCGACGCCGCGUGAGCGAAGAAGUAUUUCGGUAUGUAAAGCUCUAUCAGCAGGGAAGAUAAUGACG
rnacentral:rRNA from 1 species